UGCUUAUUAUGCCGAGAAAGCUGACAAUGUGAAGAGAAAUAGAAAAACAAAUGGUUGAACAGAAGUGCAAGAGCUGGCUGCUUAGAGGCAGUUGUGGUGUACCCAGGCUACAGAAACUGUGGGGAAAACAUCCCAAUUUCAUCUAGUUUACAAGAACACCAUAAUACCGAAAGGAGAAACACAUCUUUAUAAAAGAAUAGACUAUCCACACACAGGAUACCUGUAAAGCUAAAAUGUAGAUGUUGUGUCCCACUUCUCGAGGGGAAACCUCAGCAUUUUCACAUUCUUCUUCUUGAAGGACAUCCGCAGCACAUUUUGCAAUAGUUUUUCAAUGAAUAUCUCGCAGAGUCCCAGCCAAUUCAACACAGUUUAUGGCAGCCACAAAAACAACGUUUCUGGAGUAUAACAACUACUGUCAAAGUACUCACUUUACAAAAGUCAGGAAGAUAACAACUAGUACUGCAAGCCACUUACCAGUUCCAGAAGGAUCAACAAUCUCCCCUUUGGAACCAGACCGUUUGGUUUGUAAGUAAUUCGUCAAAAGCAUUUUCCUCAACAUAUUGCCCUGGCAUGAAAAAGAAAUAAGAUAAACUCCUUUUGCCUGCUUUUUUCAAAAAAUAUAUUUCUUCUUAAAGGUAAAAUUCUUGAAGAACUGUUUUAUCAGCUAAGUGAAAUUAUGGUCUCCAGACAUCAUAUGCAUGCUUCUGUGUUUUAGGUUUUCCUAGAAAAUAUCUAGAUGAAGGGUGGAGAUACUGAGUUAACAGGAUCUCUGAACAGAUGCAAGAGAGCUCUUUUUUGGGAUCCUAGCAAACAAAUUGAAUUAUUGGGCAAUCAUGUCUUUUUAAGAAAUUUACUUAAUAUAAGGGGGCUUUCAGGAAGGAAAAUGGCAAAUCAGGCCUGCAUCUUUAUAUUAAAAUCCCAAUGGGGAUACUUUAAAUGGGAUUUUUUCUUUUUCUAUUUUUUGCUAUUCACAUAUCUAUAGGUGAGCACAAGACUUCUCAACUACUCACCCUGUCUCCAUAUUUGUUCCUUUUUACCAGCAUUUGCUGCAGUGUCCUCAGUACUUUAAUGCAAAGCUUCUCUUCAGCUUCCAUCAGGUCUUUAGUAUGUUGGACUAAUCUAG